AAUAAGCUAUUUAAGAGCGUACGGUGGAUGCCUAGGCUCUCAGAGGCGAUGAAGGACGUGAUAAGCUGCGAUAAGCUGCGGGGAUUGGCACACACAAUUUGAUCCGCAGAUUUCCGAAUGGGGAAACCUACUAUGUUGAAGAUAUAGUAUCCGUUAAGGAAGCAAACCCAGGGAACUGAAACAUCUAAGUACCUGGAGGAAUAGAAAACAAAAGUGAUUCCGCUAGUAGUGGCGAGCGAACGCGGAAUAGCCCAAACCAAAAUUGUUUCGGCAAUUUUGGGGUUGUAGGACCACGUUAUUGAAUGUUCAAUGAAUUAGAAUUCUUUGGAAAAAGAAACCAUAGAGAGUGAUAGUCC
rnacentral:rRNA from 1 species